rnacentral:rRNA from 1 species
AUUGAACGCUGGCGGCAGGCUUAACACAUACAAGUCGAGCGGAGAUGAGGUGCUUGCACCUUAUCUUAGCGGCGGACGGGUGAGUAAUGCUUAGGAAUCUGCCAUUUAGUGGGGGACAACAUUCCGAAAGGAAUGCUAAUACCGCAUACGUCCUACGGGAGAAAGCAGGGGACCUUCGGACCUUGCGCUAAAUGAUGAGCCUAAGUCGGAUUAGCUAGUUGGUGGGGUAAAGGCCUACCAAGGCGACGAUCUGUAGCGGGUCUGAGAGGAUGAUCCGCCACACUGGGACUGAGACACGGCCCAGACUCCUACGGGAGGCAGCAGUGGGGAAUAUUGGACAAUGGGCGGAAGCCUGAUCCAGCCAUGCCGCGUGUGUGAAGAAGGCCUUUUGGUUGUAAAGCACUUUAAGCGAGGAGGAGGCUACUAGUACUAAUACUACUGGAUAGUGGACGUUACUCGCAGAAUAAGCACCGGCUAACUCUGUGCCAGCCGCCGCCGUAAAAC